rnacentral:rRNA from 1 species
GCUUGGCAUCAUGAUUUACAUUUGAGUGAGUGGCGAACUGGUGAGUAACACGUGGGAAACCUGCCCAGAAGCGGGGGAUAACACCUGGAAACAGAUGCUAAUACCGCAUAACAACUUGGACCGCAUGGUCCGAGCUUGAAAGAUGGCUUCGGCUAUCACUUUUGGAUGGUCCCGCGGCGUAUUAGCUAGAUGGUGGGGUAACGGCUCACCAUGGCAAUGAUACGUAGCCGACCUGAGAGGGUAAUCGGCCACAUUGGGACUGAGACACGGCCCAAACUCCUACGGGAGGCAGCAGUAGGGAAUCUUCCACAAUGGACGAAAGUCUGAUGGAGCAACGCCGCGUGAGUGAAGAAGGGUUUCGGCUCGUAAAACUCUGUUGUUAAAGAAGAACAUAUCUGAGAGUAACUGUUCAGGUAUUGACGGUAUUUAACCAGAAAGCCACGGCUAACUACGUGCCAGCAGCCGCGGUAAUACGUAGGUGGCAAGCGUUGUCCGGAUUUAUUGGGCGUAAAGCGAGCGCAGGCGGUUUUUUAAGUCUGAUGUGAAAGCCUUCGGCUCAACCGAAGAAGUGCAUCGGAAACUGGGAAACUUGAGUGCAGAAGAGGACAGUGGAACUCCAUGUGUAGCGGUGAAAUGCGUAGAUAUAUGGAAGAACACCAGUGGCGAAGGCGGCUGUCUGGUCUGUAACUGACGCUGAGGCUCGAAAGUAUGGGUAGCAAACAGGAUUAGAUACCCUGGUAGUCCAUACCGUAAACGAUGAAUGCUAAGUGUUGGAGGGUUUCCGCCCUUCAGUGCUGCAGCUAACGCAUUAAGCAUUCCGCCUGGGGAGUACGGCCGCAAGGCUGAAACUCAAAGGAAUUGACGGGGGCCCGCACAAGCGGUGGAGCAUGUGGUUUAAUUCGAAGCUACGCGAAGAACCUUACCAGGUCUUGACAUACUAUGCAAAUCUAAGAGAUUAGACGUUCCCUUCGGGGACAUGGAUACAGGUGGUGC